rnacentral:rRNA from 1 species
GGACCCGCACAAGCAGUGGAGCAUGUGGUUUAAUUCGAAGAUACGCGCAGAACCUUACCAACACUUGACAUGUUCGUCGCGAGCCUAAGAGAUUAGGCUUUUCAGUUUGGCUGGACGAAACACAGGUGCUGCAUGGCUGUCGUCAGCUCGUGUCGUGAGAUGUUGGGUUAAGUCCCGCAACGAGCGCAACCCCGUACUUUUAGUUGCCACCAUUUAGUUGGGCACUUUAAAAGAACUGCCAGUGAUAAGCUGGAGGAAGGUGGGGAUGACGUCAAGUCCUCAUGGCCCUUAUGUGUUGGGCUACACACGUGCUACAAUGGCACUUACAAUGGGAAGCAAGUUCGCGAGGAC